UUUUAUUUGAGAGUUUGAUCCUGGCUCAGGAUGAACGCUGGCGGCGUGCCUAACACAUGCAAGUUGAGCGAUUUACUUCGGUAAAGAGCGGCGGACGGGUGAGUAACGCGUGGGUAACCUACCCUGUACACACGGAUAACAUACCGAAAGGUAUGCUAAUACGGGAUAAUAUAUUUGAGAGGCAUCUCUUAAAUAUCAAAGGUGAGCCAGUACAGGAUGGACCCGCGUCUGAUUAGCUAGUUGGUAAGGUAACGGCUUACCAAGGCGACGAUCAGUAGCCGACCUGAGAGGGUGAUCGGCCACAUUGGAACUGAGACACGGUCCAAACUCCUACGGGAGGCAGCAGUGGGGAAUAUUGCACAAUGGGCGAAAGCCUGAUGCAGCAACGCCGCGUGAGUG
rnacentral:rRNA from 1 species